GACGAACGCUGGCGGCGUGCUUAACACAUGCAAGUCGAAUGGAAAGGCCCUGCUUUUGUGGGGUGCUCGAGUGGCGAACGGGUGAGUAACACGUGAGUAACCUGCCCUUGACUUUGGGAUAACUUCAGGAAACUGGGGCUAAUACCGGAUAGGAGCUCCUGCUGCAUGGUGGGGGUUGGAAAGUUUCGGCGGUUGGGGAUGGACUCGCGGCUUAUCAGCUUGUUGGUGGGGUAGUGGCUUACCAAGGCUUUGACGGGUAGCCGGCCUGAGAGGGUGACCGGCCACAUUGGGACUGAGAUACGGCCCAGACUCCUACGGGAGGCAGCAGUGGGGAAUAUUGCACAAUGGGCGGAAGCCUGACGCAGCAACGCCGCGUGCGGGAUGACGGCCUUCGGGUUGUAAACCGCUUUCGCCUGUGACGAAGCGUGAGUGACGGUAAUGGGUAAAGAAGCACCGGCUAACUACGUG
rnacentral:rRNA from 1 species